AGCCAUGCAUGUCUUCGAACAUGCCCUCUUUUGUUAUUGCCCGGCGGAUCUGCAUAUGGCUCCUUAUAACAGAAGUAAACUGAGUGAUAUUACCUAGUUUCUCCACACUCCGGUGUGAGACUCUGUGUCUAGUUGGAUGACCAGUCCAAAUGACUGGCUAAUACAUGCGUCGAAUUCCACCACCUCAUGUUGCAGGUCCCCUUUGAAUGCAACAGCAGAAGCUCGGCGCCGCGACGACCGCCUCGGCACACUGUGGUUCUUUCCCGGUAGAGGGGCAUUUCCCCACAGGCAGAUGUUGACUGUCCUGUGUUCCGCCUCGCGCCGGCCCACUCCAAAAAAAGAGUGUGCCGAAAAAAGACGACCGCGGAAAGAAAGAGCGGAUGCUUGCGCAAUGGGGUUCCCUGCCGAGGCUGUGGUGCCAUGGACUGAUACGAAGAAUCGGCGUCCUGUAACAUUCCCUUCGGGGAAAAAGAGGAGGACAUGACUGGAUCGAUGAUACACGUCCAUUCGCAUCAAGCAGCGUUAAAUCAACCCAAAAACUGUCUGCGGACAGGCUGCGUGGCCGCAUGUGCUUCUGACCUAUCAGCUGAGAUUGUAGUGUAAGGGACUACAAUGACCUUCACGGGUAACGGGGAAUCAGGGUUCGACUCCGGAGAAGACGCCUGAGAAACGGCGACUGCUGCUAAGGCAGACAGCAGGCGCGUAAAUUGCCCAAUUACAACACGAUUGAUCGUUGAGGCAGCAACGAGCAGAAGGAGCCCAAACUCUCUUUUAACAGAGAGGUGGAUUUUCCAAUGGAUGCCCAUCCAAACCCAGCAUGUAGGAUCUGCCAGAGGGCAAGUCUGGUGCCAGCAGCCGCGGUAAUUCCAGCUCUGGUAGCGUGUAUUGAUGUUGUUGCUGUUNAAAACGCUCACAGUUGAUCUCUCCAGUGCAGAGGCUGCCGCAAUGGGGUUCGCGUUCGGGGUUGCCAGUCUCCUCUCGUCAUGAUUGGAUUUUGGUACCUUGACCGGACACAAUUACCAUCACCCUCGGCAGUUUUUAUGUCUCUGUACUCCCUUCUGUAAAAAGCAUGGAAGCAAUUGCAAUUAACCGACGGAGAGAUCCGCCUUGAUUGGCGUGUGUGUUCGAUGUGGCGUCGCCAGUAAAGCAAAUCCUGAACGCGGCACUUGGAGAAGCUGUGACGUUUUGCGUGAACGCUCCCCCCUCUGCGCUUGGACAACGCAAUGGUUUUGUGUGUGGUCGUCGUCCGUCUCGCUCUCCCUCUCUCUCAAAGCAGACGACGCCGUAUGAAAAAUGGGGGAGCGGCGCAAAUAAUUUGUCUCACAGCUUCCCUCCCUCGGGGCUGUCCAUGUCCGUUACCGUGAAUAACACGAUGUGUUCAAAGCCGCCGANUUCGCUNGGNUGAACGCUUNUGCAUGGGACAACAGGGAAACGACCGGUGGACCCUGCUUCUGUCAUUCUUNGAAGUCCAUGACGGACAAACCGACUCGUGAAAUCCUUCGCUCGUGGUUACGCAAAAGGAAACUUGCAUCCUACAACAAGGGUCUGAUUUGGUUCGACGGGGGUACCCUCCCUUGUCUUCCCUUUCAUCAGUGCCCUUUGCGUUAUCGCGGUUUUUGUAGCUACGCUUUGAUGGGACUCAUGUGGUCGAUCGGAACCAAGGAGCUCCACCGGGGCAAUCCGAAUUGGGGCGCGAGAGGUGAAAUUCUUAGACCGCCUUAGGACGUCCUGCCGCGAAGGCAUUUCGCCAGAUGGUGUUUGUCAAUCAAGAACGAGAGUAUGGGGAUCGAAGACGAUUAGAUACCGUCGUAGUCCAUUCACUGUAAACUGUGCCGGCUCAGUGUUGGGAAGCGUUUCUGUUGCCCGUCUCUCCCACACAAGAAAGAAUGUCCCAGCGCUCCAUCCCCAAUUAUCGAGAAAUCCAGAGCUUCUGGGUUCAGGGGGGAGUACUAUCGCAAGAUUGAAACUUAAAGGAAUUGACGGAAUGACACCACCAGGCGUGGAGUCUGCGGCUUAAUUUGACUCAACACGGGGAACCUUACCAGAUCCGGACAAUGCUUGGAUUGACAGAUUGAUAGCUCUUUCUCGAUUCGUUGGACGGUGGUGCAUGGCCGUUCUUGGUUGGUGCCGCGAGGUGUCUGGUUCAUUCCGAUAACGAGCGAGAUACCUGCCUCUUAAUAGANGUCGUUGUCGUAAUCUGUAGGACGGGAAAAAAUGUGGGUCUUCUUUUGCCCCAUAUGCUCUCUCUAAUCCCUGUCCGAGACAACGCACAGCUUCUCCGAGGGACUCUGUGGGGUGGACUCACUCAACCCUCACGAAGAUAGUGUGCAACAGCAGGUCUGUGAUGCUCCCAGAUGUCCUGGGCUGCACGCGCACGACACUGGUGGAGAAAACGAGAGAACCCUUUUGUUUUGAUGCCCCGUUGGUUUGGACUUCUGUCCAUCCUCGGGUGCAUACAGGGCAAAAAAAGGGCCUUCCCUGUCAAGGGUGGGAAAUCUUUCAGCCUCUGCCGUGCUGGGGAUCGAGAAUUGCAAUUGUUUGCCGUGAACGAGGAAUGCCUAGUAUGCGCGGGUCAACAGCCCGCCCAGAUUGCGUCCCUGCCAUUUGUACACACCGCCCGUCGUUGCUACCGAUGAUGCGAUGACAGAAACCGAUGGAGAGAGGCACGUCGACGAGCAACCUUACCCCUCUCUCUCUC
rnacentral:rRNA from 1 species